UGGGGAAUAUUGGACAAUGGGCGAAAGCCUGACCCAGCAACGCCGCGUGAAGGAUGAAGUAUUUCGGUAUGUAAACUUCGAAAGAAUAGGAAGAAUAAAUGACGGUACUAUUUAUAAGGUCCGGCUAACUACGUGCCAGCAGCCGCGGUAAUACGUAGGGACCAAGCGUUGUUCGGAUUUACUGGGCGUAAAGGGCGCGUAGGCGGCAAUUCAAGUCAUCUGUGAAAUCUCCGGGCUUAACUCGGAACGGUCAAGUGAUACUGCUGUGCUAGAGUACAGAAGGGGCAAUCGGAAUUCUUGGUGUAGCGGUGAAAUGCGUAGAUAUCAAGAGGAACACCUGAGGUGAAGACGGGUUGCUGGGCUGAUACUGACGCUGAGGCGCGAAAGCUAGGGUAGCAAACGGGAUUAGAUACCCAGGUAGUCCCUGAGCGGGCUGGCAAGGCGCAU
rnacentral:rRNA from 1 species